UCUGUCAUUCUCUUCCAUAGUUAUCUAGGUUAGAUUAAAAUGCUUCUUUUGUGCUCCAAAUAUAUGCUAAUGUCUUAAUUCAUUCAACAUGCUUUCACCAACAAUUCAUGGUCUCCCCUGUGCUGGAUACCCUAUUAAAUGCUGAGCAUCCAGAGAUAAUUCGAAGACCUUUUGGUAUACUCCAAUGCUGCGACCUGCACGGCUGGGCUCAGGAUCUGAAGGAGGGGCUGACACACAAAUGAAAAUGAUAUACAAGAAAUAUGAGUUUAGAAGGCAUUGGGGAAGAUGCCAGCUGAGUGAUCUGCUUUUAGUCAGCUAGAAACAACAUUAAUCCCUACUGAGACGAGUUCCUCCUAACACCA